AUGAACGCUAGCUACAGGCUUAACACAUGCAAGUCGAGGGGCAGCAUCAUCAAAGCUUGCUUUGAUGGAUGGCGACCGGCGCACGGGUGAGUAACACGUAUCCAACCUGCCGACAACACUGGGAUAGCCUUUCGAAAGAAAGAUUAAUACCGGAUGGCAUAGUUUUCCCGCAUGGGAUAAUUAUUAAAGAAUUUCGGUUGUCGAUGGGGAUGCGUUCCAUUAGGCAGUUGGCGGGGUAACGGCCCACCAAACCAACGAUGGAUAGGGGUUCUGAGAGGAAGGUCCCCCACAUUGGAACUGAGACACGGUCCAAACUCCUACGGGAGGCAGCAGUGAGGAAUAUUGGUCAAUGGACGAGAGUCUGAACCAGCCAAGUAGCGUGAAGGAUGACUGCCCUAUGGGUUGUAAACUUCUUUUAUACGGGAAUAAAGUUAGCCACGUGUGGCUUUUUGUAUGUACCGUAUGAAUAAGGAUCGGCUAACUCCGUGCCAGCAGCCGCGGUAAUACGGAGGAUCCGAGCGUUAUCCGGAUUUAUUGGGUUUAAAGGGAGCGUAGGCGGGUUGUUAAGUCAGUUGUGAAAGUUUGCGGCUCAACCGUAAAAUUGCAGUUGAUACUGGCGACCUUGAGUGCAACAGAGGUAGGCGGAAUUCGUGGUGUAGCGGUGAAAUGCUUAGAUAUCACGAAGAACUCCGAUUGCGAAGGCAGCUUACUGGAUUGUAACUGACGCUGAUGCUCGAAAGUGUGGGUAUCAAACAGGAUUAGAUACCCUGGUAGUCCACGCCGUAAACGAUGAGUGCUAGGUGUUAGGCCCUUUCCGGGGCUUAGUGCCGGAGCUAACGCAAUAAGCACUCCGCCUGGGGAGUACGACCGCAAGGUUGAAACUCAAAGGAAUUGACGGGGGCCCGCACAAGCGGUGGAGCAUGUGGUUUAAUUCGAAGCAACGCGAAGAACCUUACCAGGUCUUGACAUCCGACUAACGAGAUAGAGAUAUGUCAGGUGCCCUUCGGGGAAAGUCGAGACAGGUGGUGCAUGGUUGUCGUCAGCUCGUGCCGUGAGGUGUCGGCUUAAGUGCCAUAACGAGCGCAACCCUUAUCGAUAGUUACUAGCAGGUCAUGCUGAGGACUCUAUUGAGACUGCCGUCGUAAGAUGUGAGGAAGGUGGGGAUGACGUCAAAUCAGCACGGCCCUUACGUCCGGGGCUACACACGUGUUACAAUGGGGGGUACAGAAGGCAGCUACACGGCGACGUGGUGCUAAUCCCUAAAGCCUCUCUCAGUUCGGAUUGGAGUCUGCAACCCGACUCCAUGAAGCUGGAUUCGCUAGUAAUCGCGCAUCAGCCACGGCGCGGUGAAUACGUUCCCGGGCCUUGUACACACCGCCCGUCAAGCCAUGAAAGCCGGGGGUACCUGAAGUACGUAACCGCGAGGAGCGUCCUAGGGUAAAACUGGUGAUUGGGGCU
rnacentral:rRNA from 1 species